CGGACGGGUGAGUAACGCGUGGGUAACCUGCCUCAUACAGGGGGAUAACAGUUAGAAAUGACUGCUAAUACCGCAUAAGACCACAGCACCGCAUGGUGCGGGGGUAAAAACUCCGGUGGUAUGAGAUGGACCCGCGUCUGAUUAGCUAGUUGGUAAGGUAACGGCUUACCAAGGCGACGAUCAGUAGCCGACCUGAGAGGGUGACCGGCCACAUUGGGACUGAGACACGGCCCAA
rnacentral:rRNA from 1 species